CAUGCUAGUUUCUUAAUCACAGUAUGGUCUUAAUCGGGUUAAGAGUGGAUUAUUGAUUAAGACCAUACUGUGAUUAAGAAACUAGCAUGUAAACAGCAAUUGUUAAUGACCUUAAUCUGAUUAAGGUCAUACUCGAAGUAAACACUAAUCGGAUUAAGACAGGUGGAGUACUCCUGUUUUAGUCGCAUUAUGGACGAGUAUUACAGACAUGUAAACCCCUUAAUCACAUUAUUAACAACGUGUGAGAGUUUUCACCGCAUUUUGUGACAGGACACGAUCACACACGGCGGUACAUUUUUGUGUAUUUUUCUUUGCAAUAUAUACUUUUUUGUCAUCUUCAUUUAAAUCGUUCAAUCGUGUACUGGCGUUUUAAUACGGCGCAAGCAGCAUGGCAAAUUUUUUAAAAAAUUAAGACGAUGCUGAAACUCCCGCUUCACUCCUGCUCACUUCCGUUGUAAAAUUUUAGCAGAGCAGAGAUUACAGAGCUUACAGACUGCAGUUUUGUCAUCAUUCCACACAGCACGAAUCGAUGUGUUUCCGCUGUGUGUUUUUAAACUAUCGGCCCAUAGCGUGAAAAAUUGCCUUUAUACAUUGUGUGCGCCUUGUAUGCAAGUGAUGUCCUCACUCUUACAACACUGAACAACUAAAUGCAAACAUUUCAAGCUGUGUCGUGUGAAAUGGCCAGUGAUUCUGAGAUUUAAAAAGUUGUAUUAUGUCUGAGGUUGUUGACAUUUUUUCGCCUAUUAAACACCACUGUCAUAGAGGUAUCGGCAAAUAUUGAAUCGCCGGCUAAAAGAAUACUGAAACUUGCGAUUUACACCCCUGCUGUGCAGGAUCUUCCGCUCUAGCAUGAUUCUGGACUUCAAAUUUCACUUUUGGGUGUAUUUAUUUAUUGUGUGAGACGAGGUAUAUCGACUCUCUUGAAAGUGUCGCUGUCGUCUACCUGCAGACGCAUACAGAUGAGCACAUUUUCUUACACGUGCUUGUGCAUAUGUUCACAAAUACAUCUAGCUAUUCUGUUUGGCCAGUUCUCUCCUUUGUGCUUUUACAUAUGAGGUGUUAUAUUUGAGAGCAAAAGGAAGUCGUAGUAUUUGGAGACAAGGGCACACUUCAGGGUCUUUGAUCGAUUUAGACAAUGUUUUUUUUUUUUUUUUCUAGCAAAGGCAAUCAAGGCCAAGAAAAAAAUGGCAGACUUUACACUGUCUGUAGGGGGAGGGGGAGAGAACAAAAGGAUCGACUCCAGCUUCAGUGCACAAAAAUCUGCUCUUCAAGCAACACAUCAAAAAGAAAACAUCUUUGUGUCAACCUGAUAUCACCCCUGCAUGAGCUUUAAUAAACCCCGGGGCAUUCGAGCGAAAAUGAAUCUCCCCUUGAGCUUUUAUAGUGCCAUUGCCUGUUUUUGCAUUAGUGCAAUAGAAUUAAAACAGGCCAAUUUAGAGGUCCUCUGUCCUCUGCAGAUAUGAUGUUAAACACAAUCACCACAUUCUCUCUGACUGACAGACUCAUCACGCUUUUGAAACGGAGAGGAAAUGGAUUGCUUUGGAAUUGAUUUUCUGCUGUCUUAUUUUUCUUCUUUAAUCUUUUUUGUUUUUAAAUAAUUGAUUUUAUUUCUCUUUCUUUUAUUAUUUCAAGGCUAUCAGAGAGCAUAUCAUCCCCAACAAACCUUACCACAUUGAUGAGGGUCUGGACCCAUGCUGGAAAAAAGCCCUGUUAGCCAAAAGGAAGCUCUGAAUAAAUAAAUAAAUAAAUAAUCAAUAUUUUAUAAAUGGUAGAAGUAAAACCAUUAGCAUUCUGUCUCACAGCUGAAUAAUUUAUUUAUUAUUAUUUUAAAAAAAAAAAUCGGCAUCUAAGAUGCACAAUCUUUUUGAAUCAGUCGAACUUUAAGAGAAUAAAAACAAGCUAAGAAACUAAAAAAAGCCACAACAAAAAUAGCAUUGCCAAAUCCCUAAGGCGUAACACUCCAGUGGAAGAUUUAAUAGACCAGAAGGGUCAUUUUAAAGGGAAAGCUUGCUCUUUGCCUCAUAUAAGUAUCGUAUAGAUGUUGUGUUGCAAUUACCAUCAGGGAUUCAAAGCCAAGCCCUUCAGAGUAGAGGAGAAAUGUUUUAGCGGGUAUAAACAUCUGAAUAGCAUAUAUCUCUAUUUAUUCAAACAUAUAUUGAUUUAUUGAAAAUAUUGAUAUAAAAGAGGCAGAACUGGAUGUCUGCAUGCAUUUAUUUCAUAUUGACGUAGAUGUAGGUUGCCUGUUUUCUUGAAGAUUAGAGUGUAGAGUUAGCAAGCUAGAUAUGCAGCAAGCUAGAUAUGCACGAAUACAUUUGUAAAUAUCUGUAAAUAGUACAGAUAUUUACUAUUUAAAUAUUUAAAUAGUAAUGUUUACACAAGAAAUCUCGUAUUCAUGAAACAUCUGCAAAGAAACUUUCCUAUUCUGCAUUUUUAUGUCAUUCUUUCAGCGCUCUUAAUUGAUACCUAAUUGCCCUUUUACUGUAAUUUGUCUCCAGUUUCUGGCCUUUGAAGUUGCUGUCAUGCUGCUAAAUAUUUUAGCAGCAUGAAAUAAUUUCCGCUUCUGCAUCGGAGAAACCAUUUUCCUCACCAUUUUGUCCCGAUACUGCGCUUUCAUCUUAUUAUGAGCUUUACCGUAUAUGGAGUUUUGUGGGUGUGACUAAAUGCACAUCAGCUGUGGUGUGCACACGCUUUGCACUUUAAGCGUGAUUGGCAUUUAUCAACAUAUGCACGUGAAUACAAAUUAAAUAAUCCGAAAGUGACUGAAACGUUUGUAAAUCUGGCAGGAAUUUUUAGUUCGGUGUCGCUUAUGAAAAACAUUUACACACAACUUUAGUAAAAGUUUGAUAAACGAGGCCCGAUGUGUGCAUUAAAAUCACCUAUUCGACCUUUCUACAGAUCUUUUUUUUUUUUUUUUUAAUAUGGCUUUCCUUUUUUGUUAAAGCUUAGAAUUAUUUUAUUCUCAAACUGCAGCAGUUGUUGGAAUGAGAUCAUUUAACUGUCCCUUUCAAGAUUUAGCGAUUUUUGCGAACACAGAAAUGAACAUAAGAUCAAGGAAACGCGGCAAUAUUUGCAGGAGCUUGCAAUUUUUCAAAAUGGCUGCAGAUUUGGGCCAAGAUACGUCAUGUGACGUCAUCACAACGCGCAUUCCCCAAAGCCCCCUUCGAUUUACAUGCAUCGAACAUGCGUACAGCUAGAAGGAAGCGUUUACCUACAAACCUCACAGUGAAAGACCACGCAGAACAAUUUUGUGCAUUCUUUUCAAUCGUUUGUGCAGUUCUGUUCAAUCGUUUUCUGCAAAAAAGCAAAAAAAUUUUUAAAAAAUCACCGGGUUGCAUCGCAAAUUUUGAACAAAGCAGCAACAAAAUCAAGCAUUUUUUAAAAGCGAAAUCCUGUUUGGACUGAUUAAAAUGUCUUAGAAAGCUGUCUGCAUCUGCAUCUGCAUGUCAUUUAAAAAAAAUUUUUUUUUUAAUAUUUGCAUUGUAUGGAUUUGACGUAUUUUCCAAUAAUUUCAUAAAACUGUAGCUGAAGCAAUGGAAAUUUCAGCAUGUGUUUGUAGGUUUCUAAGGUUCUCCAAUCUAUGUGCUUGCUUUUUUCACAUGGCUGUAAAUUCUACAAAACGCCGGACGGGUUGAGCAGGAAUUCUGUACAGUUUUGUAAAUUUCAUAGCGCAUUACACUUGUUCUGAACAGCCCUUUCCGUCUCAUCCUCAAGCUGCUUGAUUGAGUGUGCAGGACAGUGCAGGAGCAAUAAAAGCAAUAAAAAAGAUGAAUGACACGAGAGCUGCAGCUCUCAUUCCGUAAGAAUAUGAAAAGCCCAGGACGUAAUUCAUAAGACUUCAGUAUGAGAGGAUUAGUUACUUCAGUCGCUUUUGAUUAUCUGUGAUAUUGUAAGGGGCAAAUCUGUUGAUAUGGUUAGCUGUCCACAUAAAUUAAUAAGUAUAUGUUGUGGUUUUUCAGCUGGUUUGGACCUCUAAUUUAAGGUGGCAGUCUUAACAUCAGGUUCAGUCUGAAUAAGUUCUCUAUCUCUGCUCUAGCUUUGCUGAGAGGCUGUAAUUGAAUCCAAGUGCACUUUGCAGACUGCAUGCUCUCUGGAGCGGUAAGAAACCCAGCACUGAUUACUGAACCCUGGCACAUGCCCUAGUAAAAAUACAAGCCUUAGCUAUCAUUUAUCCCCUAUUUUCCUUCAUUUGUCAUUUAUCACUCAAACCAGAAAAACCUUUGUUUUAAUAAUGCAAUACUUUUGUCUGUAAAGACAUUAAACACUAUGAAAUAACAAAUAUUGAAUAAUGUAGAGACAAAGAAGAGUGUUAAACAAAUCCAAUCUGUUUUGUGUUUUAAAUUAACAGUAUUCGUGUUACAAAACUUUGCACGCUCUUGGCAUCUUCUCAACCAGCAUGGAGCUUCACGCAGGAGUAUUUUCUUAAAGUUCCUCACUGCAUCUACUAAAUGCAGGGGCAAUAUGGGCGAUGUAGUGCAUCAUCAUUACCGUAGAAACAAAUAAGUAAAUAAACUUGGCCAGUAAUGAUGACGAGAUUUCUUCAGAUAGUAUCAGGGGCACCAGCCUGUAAAGUUCAUAUCAAACCAAACGGCUCCAUGUUGUUUGUGCCAAAUUCGGAUCUAGAUUUCGUCUAACCAGACGACUUUUUUUCCACACCUUAAGGUCCAGUGCGUCUGUGCUCACUGGAGACCUGUUUCUUCUUGUUCACGUGGGCACCGGACAUGAUUGUCUGCCGUUGUAGACCCUUUGAGAAAAAAAGGGGCUAAAGCGUAAUCCAUAAUUAAUUUUUAUCAACAUUUAUCAAGCUCUUAACAAUGUUUUUUUUUUUUUUUUUUUUUUUCUGUUUGCAUAAUGUCGAGUAAAUCUUUUCAAGAACUUUUCAUAUUACAUAUUACAUAGUACAGCGUUUUGGGAGAUGCUACUACCAACAUAACUAGCACAGUGAUCAUGCGACAUACAAGACACUCAUUUUGCUCAUGGUAGCACUCAUUUAUUGUAUGAUUUUGCUGUGGAUUUUUCAGAAUUUGUGUUGCAACUUGCAGAGUUUUUUGUGCUUUUUUGCAGAAAACCACUUGAAUUGGCGAAAUUGCAAUCACACGAAAUUGUCUUUCGCAGUGAUGUUUGUUGAUAAAUGAAACUGUGGCUGUACUCAUGUUCGACGCACAUGAACUGAAGAGGGCUUUGGCUGAAUGCGUGUUGUGAUAAGGUCACAUGGCACGUCUUGGCCCAAAUCUGCGGAAAAUUAGAAUUAGAAUAUUGCAGCGUUUCCUUGAUUUUGAAUUAAUUUCUGCCAUCGCAAAAUCCCGGAGGGACUGAUUUAUACCCUGCUGUCAUGUGACAUGAAAUUUAUGUACAGGUGGCAGUGAUGGUGGUGCAGUGUGCGAUCUGAAAUCUCUUGCUUUGUCUCUGAAGCUGUCAUGUGUAUCGAGUUUGUAUAAAACGGUAGUGAUGGUGUGAUGUGUGGGAUCGGUGCUCUAACACUGUAAUGAUUUAUCAGUGUAAUGGGUUAAAUCUUGGCACAUAGGGGAGGCCACAGAGAUGGCAGCAAGAAUUCGAGCAGUCACAUCGAGGACAGCCAUGACCUUCUCUAUCUGCCCAUUCAUCUCUCUCUCUCACACACACUCUCUUUCACAGCGUUAUGUCACGUUUCUUUCAUUUUUUGUCUGUUUCUUCGUCUCCCUCCUUUCCUCCUCAAGCUUGACUGUAGCAGUGACUGAUCUUCCACUUGAGAUUAAAAUGCUCUUUCUUUCCUCUCGCUUCUCUGUCUUAUCUGUAUCUCGACUUUUCACUGCAUUCCACUUCUUUUUCCCUUCAGUGUUUCCAUGUCGUUGCACAGGACAUUGCCUGAAACCAACUCAAUAAAAAUGGUUGCUAAGAGAAAAUAACCCAUCUUCGCAUUGCUCUGAUUUGUUCCACUGAUUUGAUCCCCAACACCUCUGACACAGCUUGCGUUCGGGUGAAAUGCUCUGCUGUUGCCAGAUGCAUUAGAUGAAAACUCACGUGUUUAUCAUUUUCCUAGAAGCAAGGCUUUCAUGCUUUUGAGCCACUAAGCUUAUGUACAAUGUGUAUUUAUGGUGUGGAAGCUAUGCAUGGUUGAGAGCUUUUGAUAAUAUGAUAAUCCCAUUCACUUGUCGGAUAAACAUGCCCAAAGGGAAUCGUUUUGGCUUCUUUGAAAUGCACAUAUAAAUGAAGGGCAGAUAGAGGGAAAGAUGAGGUUGAACUAAAUUAUUCCCUGAUAAAUAAGAGCACUUUUGUUGCAUUCUGCUUGUACGUCGUGUCUUUAAUGUCGAGGUCAAGUUUGAACCACUCUCAGCCCUGUUUCCUUAAUAAAACCUUAUUUGCAGUUAUGGUAAGUGUUUGUGGAUGUGCAUAGGAGACUGAGAGAGAGAAUGAGAGAGAGAGAGAGAGAGAGAGAUAGGUUAUUUCACUGUCUAUUCCUCCAAAUUCAAAACAAAUUUAUGCAAAUUAUGCAGGAUUAGCUGUCUGUGGCAUAUAAGCAGCAUUUUCCCCAGACCUAAUUUAAUAUUUACCCAUUAAAGAAUGCCUGAGCAUGUUACAGAACUGUCAGAGUCAGACAAAAUAUAUCCAUUUAGCCUCUUUCAGUUGCAGAGAACUUCUCCAGAAUGACCCUACUUUAAUUGGUCUGAUACAUAACACAUCAUAAUCAUACUUUGCUGAAAGUAUGUAGACAUCUGACCAUCGCACCUUAUAUGAGCUUGUUGGAUAUCCCAUUCCAAAACUAUUGGCAUUAAUAUGGAGUCCCCACUCCCCACCCCACCCUUUGUGGUUAUAACAGCUUCCACUCUCCUGGGAAGGCUUUCUACAGGAUUUUGGAGCAUGACUGGGGCAAUUUGUGCCCACUGUGUCAAAGGAACAUUUGUAAGAUCCAGGACUGAUGUUAUCUAGAGAAGCUCUGGCCAACAAUUCAUCCCAAAGGUGUUCAUUUGGUUUGAGGUCAGGAUUCUGGGCAGGCCAUUUCAGUUCCUCCACAACAAACUUGUCAAACCUGUCUUUAUGUACCUUGAUUUGUGCACUGGGACAAAUGCUGGGAAAAUGAAUGGCCUUCCCCGAACUGUUGCCACAAAGUUGGAAGCGUACACUUCUAAAACAAAAGUCUGAAAUGUCUUUGCAUGUUGUAGUAUUAACAUUAACCUUCACUGGAACUGUGGUGCCCAAACCCUGAAAAACAGCCCCAGACUAUUAUCCCACCUAUGCCAAACCUUACUGUAGGCAGUAUGUAUUCCAGUGGGUAGCGUUGUGAGUUUCCAUGGUCUACAAACUUGUAGCGGAGCAGUUGUUGCUCGUAGACGCUUCCAUUUCACAAUAAUAGCACUUAGUGUUGACCGAAGCUGCGUAGCUGAGCUCAGUCAUUAGGAGGGGUGUACACAUACUUUUACAUUACAUUUACAUUUAUUCACUUAGCAGACGCUUUUAUCCAAAGCGACUUACAAAUGAGAAAGAUACAAACAACUUUUGGCCAUGUAGUGUAUAACUAUACAGUUACACUUAAAUAUGGCUGUGAAUGUAUAAGUUAUAACCGGACAGAUAAUAAAGCUAGCAGGUAGUAGAAUGUGGAAGAUCUGUAAUGAUGAAAUGACAGUGUUUAGUGCAUUUUAUUCACAAAGCACCUCAUUUUAGGGGAAAUCACCUAAAAUCUCCUACAAAAUACAAUGCAGUAAUUGUGGUCUAGGGAUGGAGAAAUAAUACAUUUGUUAGACAGCCCAGUGGGACGCUCCAGUCUACUUGUACAUCCCAUGUUGUUGUUUUUUGCCCAGAAGCCUAAUUAAGUAGGAUAAUAAGUGGCAGCUAAUGUAAUUUAACACUAAAGUAUAAUGAACAAAUGAAAAUUCCCCAGCCCUGAGAUUUGAGUACUCACUCAUUUUCAUUAGUCUCUGCCUAGACACUCCUUAUUCUAACCUGAUGUAUAUGAUGUAGCAUAUUGUACAAAAUGGCAGCAAGUCAUCGGUGUCAUCUUAUUACCUCUCACAUAAAAGAUAUGUAAGUCUUUAUGUUUAUUUAUUUAUUUUUUUACAUUUUUAUUCACCUAGUAAAAUAUUACCUACUGACGGACAGAAUGCAUUUUUGUAGUUUAAAAGGUUAGAAAGUUACUACAACUACAGCAUGUUACAUGCAAACAAGUAAAGGUAAAGGGGGGGGGGGGGCUUUCCUUUUUACUAG
ensembl:lncRNA